ACUCUGCACUCACUGUGAAGACUGCUGCGUCCAGAACUGUACCACCUCUGACAGCACAGGACAGGAUAGGACAGCACAGGACAGGACAGGACAGCACAGCACAGGACAGGACAGGACAGGACAGGACAGGACGAAGAAAAACAAACAAACACAGAAAGGGAAAACAACGGAGUUUUUGUUGAUGUUGUGAAGGAGUCUACCUACCAUGGUUCAGCGUGCGUAAAAUGCGCAAUUGUUCUAGCUCAUUAUUUUCACUUGAAAAUUCGGACACUAAAAAAUAAAUAAACGACACUAAAGUAUUUACACCGGAUAUAAUCCCUUUGAGUCUGAUCAAAUGUUAAAAAUGACCGCAGAGCAUGACAAGUCCAUCAGCGACCCACCGUGUAGCCCGGCGGGGACUACGAGCUCCAUGUCGCAGGAUGAUUCCGACUCGGAUGCGCCCUCGUCGCCAACGGGAUCAGAUGGAUCACUCCUCGCUGGUAUAGGAAAGAAACUGGACGGCGAGGAUGAUGACCGAUUCCCAGCCUGCAUACGUGACGCGGUGUCGCAGGUUCUCAAGGGAUAUGACUGGUCCCUCGUCCCCAUGCCCGUUCGGGGAAAUGGCUCGCUGAAAAAUAAACCCCAUGUCAAAAGACCGAUGAACGCGUUCAUGGUGUGGGCGCAAGCGGCGCGCAGAAAGCUGGCGGACCAAUACCCUCAUCUGCACAAUGCGGAACUGAGCAAGACUUUGGGGAAGCUAUGGCGCUUACUCUCAGAGAAUGAGAAGCGGCCUUUUGUGGAGGAAGCAGAGAGACUUCGGGUGCAGCACAAAAAAGACCAUCCCGACUACAAGUACCAGCCUCGGCGUCGGAAGAGUGUGAAACCUGGGCAGAGUGACUCCGACUCUGGUGCAGAGCUGGGGAAUCACAUGUACAAGGCUGAACCAGGAUUGUUGGCAGGCAUAGCCGAUGGACACCACCACCCUGAACAUGCAGGCCAACCCCACGGUCCACCCACACCCCCACCACCCCCAAAACGGACCUGCACCACGGGGCAAACUGGACAUGAAGCACGAGGGACGGCGCCUGCUGGACAGCGGCCGACAGAACAUCGACUUCAGCAACGUGGACAUCUCCGAGCUCAGCACCGACGUCAUCAGCAACAUGGAGGCCUUCGACGUGCAUGAGUUUGACCAGUAUCUACCGCUCAACGGCCACGCCUCCACCGCUGGCGCAGGCGUGGACCACCACGGCCACCAUGGACCAAACCCUGCAUCUGGUGCUAUCUCGUAUACAUCAUACAGCCACGCCACAGCGAACAGUGCCGUUUGGAGCCGCAAGAGUGCCACCAUGUCUGCCUCUUCCUCAACUUCUAGCGAGGCGGUCCCACAGCACCGGGCCCACAUCAAGACGGAGCAGCUGAGCCCCAGCCACUACAGUGGCGACAGUCACUCUCACAGCUCCCCCUCCCACUCAGAUUACUCCCACUCCUACACAGCCCAGACCUGCGUGACGUCAUCCGCAGCUGCAGCCUCCUUCUCCAGUUCUCAGUGUGACUAUACAGACCUCCAGAGUUCCAACUAUUACAGCCCCUACUCAGGCUACCCUUCCAGCCUGUACCAGUACCCUUACUUUCACUCCUCCAGAAGGGCGUACCACGGGAGCCCCAUCCUCAACAGUUUGUCCAUUCCCCCCACCCACAGUCCUCCCACCUCCAACUGGGACCAGCCGGUGUACACCACCCUAUCCAGACCGUAGGUGACUGUUCAUUACUCACCAGGGACGUGUUCAUCAAUAUGUUUUGCAACGGACAACGAAGAUGACCAUUUCUUAUUCGACAAGUCCAAGUAGUCCCUCCCCUUUUUGUUUGUUUGGUGCCCAAUGAACACAACCCUGGUCUCAUGGAAAUGUGAAAACUGGAGGACGAGGAUUGGAGGGUGCUCGGCUAUCCCCGUGCCAAUUUCAACAUAUCGAAGAAAGAAUAUCGAAGUGCCUGCUGAUUUUAUACAAACCGUUUUUGUUUUACCUUACCCAUGGAGAGACAGAAAGACUGACUUUGACAAAGAAAUCAAAUCAAAGGCGAGCCAAAAUUCCUCUGUGAGGAGUCGGACCCCCCCCCCUCCCCCACACACACAUCUAGUACAGCCACGCCUUCUUCAAGUUCAGGGUUGUGUUCAUUAGGGCACACAAUGGAAAUGUUUUAAGAUAUAUUGCAACGGAAAAUGAGCUUUUCUUAUUUCUUCUGUUUGGUGCCUAAUGAACACAACCCAGGUCUGCACAUGUUGUUGUGUUGUGUGCACCGUUGAGACAGCAGCGUGGAGGCCUGCCACAGACUUGUGUAGGAGAGAGAGAGAAUUACGCUGAGGCCCAAGUCCUUGGUGACGCAGAUGGAGAAACAGAUACUUUUGGAAUGAAGCUCUGGGAUUAAGGAUUUAUUCACAGGCUGAAUCCCAUAUGGCACCCUAUUCCCUAUAUAGUGCACUACUUUUAACCAGGGCCCAUAGGGCUCUGGUCAAGUAGUGCACUACAGUAUGAGGCUGAGCUGUAUAACUUAAAAAUGCACACAGAUAUUUACAUCAGUGGACCAGUCUUAAUUCAGUUGUUCAUUUGAAUUCUUAAAUGUUCAUUUUGUUGUUAUUUUGAUGUUAGAAAUGUCUUAAAUAUGUAUUUAUGUUCAUCACAUUAUUUCCCGUGUUAUUUCCAAUGUCGCCGUUAAACACCAGUAACAAAGUCGGGGUCUAUCACCGUGUUUGUUACAUGGAAGUGGGUGGGUGGUGGAUCUAAGUACAGUAGAAACUCCAUAACCCAUUACUACAUUUUAUAACAUCAUUCCCUAGACGACCAAUAAUGAACAUUGUCUCCAUUCCAAGUUGCAGGAAAGCAAAGUAGGACCAAUAGAAUAGAUCUAUUUGAAUAUCACAUGAUGCAACAGAUACCAAUCGACCAAUAGAAUGCCACCUGAUCCAACAGGUGCCUGGAAGCUAUGCUUGACCAAUUGCGAUUAGUGAUGAUGUGGGGUUUAAGGAAGUGGGGUAAGAUAACACCAGACACACUGAGUAAUGUGUCAGCUGGACUCAUGCAGACAGGACGACACACAGAUGUGUGUGUUCGUGUGUGUGUUGUCCUAGGGGACCAAGCAUGAACAAGUAAGGACAGAACAGUUGUUUUGAUUGACUAAGCAGCAUACUGUACUGUUAUCUGAGCUCAUCAGGGCCACCGAAAGCUUACAAAGAAAGACAGAGAUUCUUCUUAUUCACUAUGGCAGAAUGCAUGUGACAAUGUUCAUGUAUGUGUUUUGGGUCAAUUCCUCAGAAGUCAUAAGGUGCCAAUUCACUGUAACCCAGUUUACAAUGCGCAGAACAUAUUUGUGUCUUCUAAUGCUUUAUCAUCAUUUCCCAAUUGGAUUAUUAACAAACUUCAUGCAGCAUACAGUACAAUCAGUAAUCCACACUACAGAAUCAAAUCAUCUCUACGUAAUCUUAAUCUGGUGCCGUGUGUAACAGCCUCAAUGUCUGUUCAGUGUGUCUUUGUACAGAGCACCAUACUCUACUUUAUGUCCACAGAAUGCAGUGUUUUUCUUUAUAUUAUCGCAGUGUAUGUUUUUAAUGACUAAGCUGUGAACUAUGUCAUCAUCUAUAUUAACUAGGUCAUCCACACGCCACAGCUAACCCAUUUGCUGGCCGUUUCUCUGUAAAGAAAUAAAAAUGAACUUUUCUCAUUGA